CCCUUAGAUGUUCUGGGCCGCACGCGCGCUACACUGACGGAGGCAGCGAGCGUGUCCUUCGCCGGCAGGUGCGGGCAAUCUUGCGAGUCUCCGUCGUGCUGGGGAUAGAUGGUUGCAAUUGUCGAUCUUGAACGAGGAAUUCCUAGUAAGCGCGAGUCAUCAGCUCGCGCUGAUUACGUCCCUGCCCUUUGUACACACCGCCCGUCGCACCUACCGAUUGGAUGGUCCGGUGAAGCCUCGGGAUUGUGGUUCUUGCCGCUUUAUUGUGGCGUGACCGCGAGAACUUGUCUAAACCUUAUCAUCUAGAGGAAGGUGAAGUCGUAACA
rnacentral:rRNA from 1 species